CUAUCUGCGGCCAAGAUCCAGAUGCUCUGCCUCAUCACGCAUGGUGAGCAAUGAAUCUGUUCCAGACCUGAUGCUUGCUAGCAUCUCCUCUUAGCUGCUUUCUGCACUUCGAUGGGCAACAACGUUCCCCGUGAGUCCAUCCCCGGUGAGCGCAACUCCACUAGUUUGCCUAAAUCGGCGGAUGGCGGCAACCAUGCAUCCCUCACUGGAGAGUGUUGGUGCCAACUAGUAGAUGAUUUGGAUCUGGCUCUAUGAAUGAGAUCAAAGCAUGUUCUGCAGGUGGAAAGCAAGUGACAUACCCUUUUUUCGCAAGAUCUGAAAGCAAAUCCCAAUUGCUUGUGGGACCAGUUUGACAACAAUUCUUUUGUGUUUAGAAUUAAUCUCCAAUUUUAAUCCAGCAUGGAUGUUUAGUCGCUUUUUUUUGUUCCUGGAAAAAUUGUAGUCAAUUUUUGCUCAUCUGUGUGUUUAUGCAGAUAACUUGGAGUAAUUAUUUCUUUAUUGUAUA